AGGACCCGUCUUGAAACACGGACCAAGGAGUCUAACAUGUGCGCGAGUCAUUGGGACUGUUAAGCCUAAAGGCGCAAUGAAAGUGAAAGUCGGCCUUGCGUCGACCGAGGGAGGAUGGUUCGCGUUACGAUGCGAACCCGCACUCCCGGGGCGUCUCGUGCUCAUUACGAGCAGAGGCGCACCCAGAGCGUACACGUUGGGACCCGAAAGAUGGUGAACUAUGCCUGGUCAGGACGAAGUCAGGGGAAACCCUGAUGGAGGUCCGUAGCGAUUCUGACGUGCAAAUCGAUCGUCGGAACUGGGUAUAGGGGCGAAAGACUAAUCGAACCAUCUAGUAGCUGGUUCCCUCCGA
rnacentral:rRNA from 1 species